rnacentral:rRNA from 1 species
AGUGAACGCUGGCGGUAGGCCUAACACAUGCAAGUCGAACGGCAGCACAGUAAGAGCUGGCUCUUACGGGUGGCGAGUGGCGGACGGGGGAGGAAUACAUCGGAAUCUACUUUUUCGUGGGGGAUAACGUAGGGAAACUUACGCUAAUACCGCAUACGACCUACGGGUGAAAGCAGGGGAUCUUCGGACCUUGCGCGAUUGAAUGAGCCGAUGUCGGAUUAGCUAGUUGGCGGGGUAAAGGCCCACCAAGGCGACGAUCCGUAGCUGGUCUGAGGGGAUGAUCCGCCACACUGGAAGAGAGACACGGUCCAGACUCCUACGGGGGGCCGCGGUGGGGAAUCCUAGACGAUGGACGAGUGCCUGAUCCAGCCAUACCGCGUGGGUGAAGACGGCCUUCGGGUUGUAAAGCCCUUUUGUUGGGAAAGAAAAGCAGCAGGUUAAUACCCCGCUGUUCUGACGGUACCCAAAGAAUAAGCACCGGCUAACUUCGUG